CCAGACUCCUACGGGAGGCAGCAGUGGGGAAUAUUGCACAAUGGGGGAAACCCUGAUGCAGCGACGCCGCGUGAGUGAAGAAGUAAUUCGUUAUGUAAAGCUCUAUCAGCAGGGAAGAAAAUGACGGUACCUGAGUAAGAAGCCCCGGCUAACUACGUGCCAGCAGCCGCGGUAAUACGUAGGGGGCAAGCGUUAUCCGGAUUUACUGGGUGUAAAGGGAGCGUAGACGGCAGUGCAGGUCUGGAGUGAAAGCCCGGGGCUCAACCCCGGGACUGCAUUUGGAACUGUAAGGCUAGAGUGUCGGAGAGGCAGGCGGAAUUCCUAGUGUAGCGGUGAAAUACGUAGAUAUUAGGAGGAACACCAGUGGCGAAGGCGGCCUGCUGGACGAUGACUGACGUUGAGGCUCGAAAGCGUGGGGAGCAAACAGGAUUAGAUACCCCAGUA
rnacentral:rRNA from 1 species